rnacentral:rRNA from 1 species
UACGAAGGGGGCUAGCGUUGCUCGGAAUCACUGGGCGUAAAGCGCACGUAGGCGGAUUGUUAAGUCGGGGGUGAAAUCCUGGAGCUCAACUCCAGAACUGCCUUUGAUACUGAAGAUCUUGAGUUCGGGAGAGGUGAGUGGAACUGCGAGUGUAGAGGUGAAAUUCGUAGAUAUUCGCAAGAACACCAGUGGCGAAGGCGGCUCACUGGCCCGAUACUGACGCUGAGGCACGAAAGCGUGGGGAGCAAACAGGG